AAACCAGCACCUCAAGUGGUCAGGAUGAUUAUUGGGCCUAAAGCAUCCGUAGCCGGCUCUGUAAGUUUUCGGUUAAAUCUGUACGCUUAACGUACAGGCUGCCGGGAAUACUGCAGAGCUAGGGAGUGGGAGAGGUAGACGGCACUCGGGAGGAAGUGGUAAAAUGCUUUGAUCUCUCGAUGACCACCUGUGGCGAAGGCGGUCUACCAGAACACGACCGACGGUGAGGGAUGAAAGCUGGGGGAGCAAACCGGAUUAGAAACCCCAGUAGUCC
rnacentral:rRNA from 1 species